GACGAACGCUGGCGGCGUGCUUAACACAUGCAAGUCGAACGGAAAGGCCCUGCUUUUGUGGGGUGCUCGAGUGGCGAACGGGUGAGUAACACGUGAGUAACCUGCCCUUGACUUUGGGAUAACUUCAGGAAACUGGGGCUAAUACCGGAUAGGAGCUCCUGCUGCAUGGUGGGGGUUGGAAAGUUUCGGCGGUUGGGGAUGUACUCGCGGCUUAUCAGCUUGUUGGUGGGGUAGUGGCUUACCAAGGCUUUGACGGGUAGCCGGCCUGAGAGGGUGACCGGCCACAUUGGGACUGAGGUACGGCCCAGACUCCUACGGGAGGCAGCAGUGGGGAAUAUUGCACAAUGGGCGGAAGCCUGAUGCAGCAACGCCGCGUGCGGGAUGACGGCCUUCGGGUUGUAAACCGCUUUCGCCUGUGACGAAGCGUGAGUGACGGUAAUGGGUAAAGAAGCACCGGCUAACUACGUG
rnacentral:rRNA from 1 species